GACGGAGGGCGCGGGCGUUGUUCGGAAUCACUGGGCGUAAAGCGCGCGCAGGCGGGCGCGGAAGUCGGGGGUGAAAGGCCGGGGCUCAACCCCGGAUGGUUCUCUCGAUACUCCGUGCCUAGGGACCGGUAGAGGCCAGCGGAAUUCCCGGAGUAGCGGUGGAAUGCGUAGAUAUCGGGAAGAACACCAGAGGCGAAGGCGACUGGCUGGGCCAGAUCCGACGUUCAGGCGCGAAAGCGUGGGGAGCAAACAGG
rnacentral:misc_RNA from 1 species